rnacentral:lncRNA from 1 species
AUCAACAAAGGCGAUGCAAGUGUCUGGUAUUUGGAUAAUGGAGCGAGCAAUCACAUGACAGGGAAUAAGGAGUUCUUUUCGAGUUUGAAUCGCAACACCAAAGGGAAGGUGAAGUUUGGUGAUGGAUCGUGUGUUGACAUUGUAGGAAAGGGUGUGGUUACUUUUGUGUGCAAGACUGGAGAGAAGAAGGCACUCAAGGACAUAUACUACAUACCCGAUCUGAAGCACAAUAUAUUGAGUCUUGGGCAAGCAACAGAGAACGGAUGUGAGGUUAACAUGAAAGAUGUUUACUUAACGCUCACAGAUUCGCAUGGAAGGUUGCUAGUUCGUGUGACAAGAUCUCCAAACCGUCUCUACAAGACCCCUAUGGAGAUAAGCUACCCGGAAUGUUUACAUGUCAGGGACGAUGAUGCUACAUGGAGGUGGCAUGCUCGACAAGGACAUAUAUGCAAUGGAGUGAUGAACAUGGUAAGAAAGGAGAUGGUCGUAGGAAUGCAGAGUGUAACACACGAAGAAGGCGUGUGUGACACAUGUCUCACAAGGAAGCAAACGAGACACUCAUUCCCGAGUGUAACACACGAAGAAGGCGUGUAUGACACAUGUUUCGCAGGGAAGCAAAUCAGAGAUUCAUUCCCGACUAAGGCCAUGGUUUGUACAUCAAAGCCAUUAGGAUUAUUGCUUGGAGAUUUGUUGGAAUAAGUGCACCACCAACGCCAGCAGAUAAUGGUGAGGCAUUCUAUCGGUUCAAAAGAUUUCACACCGAUAGAGGAGGAGAGCGUGCCUCAGCUAUGUUCAAUCUAGGUUGCACCGAUAGAGGAGGAGAGGUUGCCUCAGAUGUGUUCAAUCUAGGAUGCACCGAUAGAGGAGGAGAGAUUGCCUCAGAUGAGUUCAACCUAUCUUGUGAAGAAGAUUGGGUUGAAGCUAUGGAAGACGAGUUGGAGUCUAUCACAAGAAACAAGAUAUGGGAGCUUGUAGAUAGACCGACUGGUUCUGAGAAGAAAAGAGAAGAGGAUCGAGUGUGUGUGUUACACAAGACGUUGCAUGUGUUACGCCAGGCAUCCAGAGCAUGGAGUGUGAAACUUGAUCAGGUUCUCAAGGAGAUGAGAUUUGAGAAGUGCACGAAGGAACCAUCAGUGUACUGGAAGACUGAAGGAGGAGACGUCUUGAUCAUAGCCAUCUACGUUGAUGAUCUAUUUGUGACAGGAACUUCGCUUAAGAUGAUUAGGCAAUUCAAGGAGGAGAUGUCUAAGAAGUUCGAGAUGUCAGAUUUAGGUAAGCUGACGUACUACCUUGGCAUAGAGGUGAUUCAAGGAGCAGACGGAAUCAGAAUAAAGCAAGAGAGGUAUGCUCAAGGAAUCCUGUGUGACACAAAGAUGGAAGUUUGUAACACGACUCACGUAGGAGUGUGCAACACGACUCAAGGAAUCAUGUGUGACACAAAGAUGGAAGUGUGUAACACGACUCACGUAGGAGUGUGCAACACGACUCACGGAGGAGUGUGUGACACAAAGGUGGAAGCGUGUGACACAACGCACGUACCAAUGGAGUCAAGGUUCUCAAAGGCUGAAGAUGAACCAGAGAUAAAUCAGUUGGGUGUUGAGCAGAAGGCCGACAUCCUUCCCAGAGCUCAUGUACGCAAGAUGGCGGAUGUGACCAGAGUUAUCAUCGCAGUGAGCUUCAGCCACAAGACUCAUCGCAACUUAAGUGAAGAGGUCAUGAGAAGGUUCUACAAGAACUGGGCCGAUUCUA